CCGGCUGCUCCGCCCGGCCCCGCCGCGCAGGGCUGGCUGCGGGCACAGCUGGGCUCCGCCGCCCGGCUCCGGCAGCCCCCCGGCGGCGACGGUUGCCCCCCCGCGGGGAGGGCGAGGUGCGGGGAUGCGGCGGAGGGUGCGCGGUGCUGCGCGGCGGGAGGGCGGCGGGGCGCGGAGGGUACUUUGAAACCCGGCGGGGUCGCGCCUGCAUCGCAUCGGCGCGGGCUGGAGCGGAGGAGGGUUAUCCGUGGGCUUCCUCAGCAAGUAAAUCCGGAUAACUUACAGCAGGGUUUGGUUUUUUGUAGGGGGUGGUGGGGGGGUGUCCUUUGUUUCUGUUGGAGGUUUGGUGUUGGUUUUUAUUUUUAUUAUUUUUUUUGUUUGCUGAUUUCCCUUCCCUCCCGCGGGUAGUUCGCGGAGAAGAUACGCGGUGACUCGGGUGCUGUCAUUCGGUGCUAGGCAUCUCGCCGGGUUUUUGGAAAACGGCUUUAAUUUCUUUUUUUUUUUUUAAUCCGACAAGAGGAGAGGCGUGAUACAAACACACCCCCCCUCCGCAAGGUAGGGUCUCCUCUCUGCAGAGUUUGUUACGGCGUUAGAUGCUGCCUCCCGCCCGAGGUCGAGCUGCUCAAAUAUGCUGGGAUGCCUGCUUUCUUCCUUCUGCCACAGGAGAUCUGUUACCACCAGUGACUACAGCUGCAACUUGCUUGUCCAGUGCAUCUUUCUUGUCUGCAUCAGAUUCCUGGCAUUGCUUUGUGACCUUCAGUGCAUCCCAUUGGUGCUCUCCAUUCAGAGCCUCCCAAGCGGGCAAGAAACCUAGAAGCUGGAACAUUGAAAGCACAGAACUGCCCGAAAGGAACAGCCUCUUGCAUCAGCUCUACCUCUUUUCUCCCAUGUUCAUGAACACAGGGGAAGUUGUUUAAACCAGCUGAGCUUUACUGCAAAAAUUAAGAACCCCAGGUCCCACCAAACCUUCAGUGUUUGGCGAUGAUUCAAAAGGGGAUUGAGCACUGUUGUUCCUGAGGACAGUCCCGCAUUCAUUGCUGGCCUUACUUUAAUAUAUUUUUACAGUUUUUAAAGAUCAGAUUAAUCUGAAAAGAGAACUAUGAUUUGGUUGUGGUGCAUGUGGGAAGUGGGUGUUAUUCUUGUGUGUCACAAUGCAUGCAUUUAGACUCUCUGGAGCUUGAAGUGAAAGCUGGGAGUCACCUAGGCAUUAGCCGAAGAAGAAAACAUCUUAGGUCACUGCAAAAAUCAUAAGCAAAAGAAAGACAAGUUGCUGUUCUUCAGUGCUACAUAAAAGGAAACUUCUAAGCAUGUUUCCUUGGUAAGCAAACCAGUUUUUGAACUGUUUUAUAUGACGUUUUUUGUAAAUGUCCCCAUUUCGUCAGCUCCUGUUCUAAGGUAAAUUACUGGUACCUUAUGUUCUGCAACCAAAGUGCUAGAAGAAAGAAGUUUGUAGGAGUAACAGUUUCAGGAGACUGCUUGGAAUCUCAAACUGCUUAUUAUGUUUCUUUGAAUUAUUGGUGAUGUAUUUGGUACCUGGUAUUUUGUUUCAGAAGUACUUCA
rnacentral:lncRNA from 1 species